UUUCAUGUAGCAAAUCACAGGCACAUUGUUAGAUCUCCAGUUCUAAUGCGGGAAUUGUGGCUUGAGAUGUGGCAUGAUAACUAUCCUGAUUCAAAAUCAAAAUUUGUUACAAAAGGUGGAUCUCUUCUUUCUUAGUUCUUUUUGUUUCAUUAAAUUGUUUUACCUCUUAAAUUUUACAUGGAACAGCUAAGCGUGACCUUUGAGGGAAGAUGACUGUUAUUGGGAUUAUGGAAAAGUUCGUUGUGCAUGGCCUGAGCAUUGUGAAUAUAGGUAUUUUUCUUACAUGUUUUUUAAUUAUUUUUUCGAAUAUUGUGGUCAUCAGUUUCCCUUAUUGCAUUAUGUACAGAUACGUUUUAUUUUGUGAAAGGGCUCCUAAAUUUUCUACUUUCAUUUGAAGAAAACUGUGAAGAGUUAUCUUACACAACAUCAAGUCAACAUUCACAAGGACCCAUAAUUAAUAUAUAUAUAUUCAAUGCUAAGAAAUGUUGACAACAGAUGAUGUUGAUAGCGCACUCAGCUUAAGAAAUGUUGAGGUGAUGAAUCUCAUUGGUGAUGUUAAAGGAAAAGUUGCAGUAAUGGUGGAUGACAUGAUUGACACUGCUGGUGAGUUAAGUCAUCUAGAUGUAAAAAAUCCCAGCUUAUAGGCCAUUAAUUAGGAAGUGAUUUCAAAAAGUGAAAAUUCAAAGAAAAAGAAACUUAGUUUAUCAUGCAAUUUUCAUGGCGAGUUAUUAAUUUCAAUUUCCAAGUGUUGUCCAUCAUGAGCAAAUAUCCUACCACUUUAUGCUCCAAAAUUUCUAGACUACAUUUGCAUUUAAGGCUGGUUAAUACUAAUUGUCCAUCCUUGGUUCCCUCUCUCACGUUUUUCAGGUUAUCAGGUUCAACUGUUAUUAAUAGAAUUGGUCUAUGAUAUCUAAUGAGAAAAACAGAAGAAGCUGUUCUAGCAUAUUGAUUAAUAUGGUUGGCUUGUUUUUCUGUGUUUUAGCAAUACGGACCAUUGACUUUGAGUCUUUGAGAGGUAUGAGUUUGAUCAUCUCCCUUGUCGGCUUCCAGACAGUUCAACUUAUGGGCAAAUUACUACUCUACUCAAGAUUCAGCCAAAAAAAAUUUAAAAAUUUUCUUUUUGGGACAUGCAGCAAUUGUUUAAAGCCUUUAAGACCUAUACUUCAUUUAAUGUUAGGUCUUGGAUCUCAAAAAAAUUGAGCUGUUACUUCUUCCCUAAUGCUUAAUAAGGAGUAAAAGAGUAAUUCAAAAACACUAAUUAGCGUACCAACUAACACACUAAUUAAAAGAAGGGCAGGACAUACUAACUUCCCCUAUGCUAAUUUCUUUUUGAAGAAAUGAACAUGAAAGGUUAACAAGAUUACAUAAAUACUUUGUUUUAUAUUUCAUAAGCAUGUCUCCGAAUUUAUUUUGUAAUUGGAUAUGAUGUAGGGGUGUGACGCAUCAAUUCUCCUUGAUGGUCCAAAUUCAGAGAAAACAGCACCACAAAAUUUUGUUACUUUAUGAUUGGCAUUGUAAUCCAAAAUUUUGCUUUGGUUAAUUAUGUUGAUUUCACAGUAGGAUGUCAUCUACUCCAUGUUGAAUUGCUUUGCUGAAUAGUUUGAUGUUUAUGCUACAUAAAUAGAAAGUUUCAUUUUCAAGAUUUCAUAGAAAUCAUUUACAUGAAGCUAAUAUAAACAUGAUGGAAAAUUUAGAGUUAUAUUUUAUAUUUGAAUAUGUAGUUUGAACGGGAGGCAUUUAUUCUUAUUCAAAGUCCAAACCAUAAUAUAGGGAGUGAUAUUAAUUAUACUAACCAUUUACUCUUCUCAAAGUGAUUGAAUAGUUGGAAACAAAAAUGCAUAAAAUGAAAAUUUAUUGAGAACAUGGGAACAAAAAUGCAUAGAAUGAAAAUUUGCUUAUGGAAUCUUGACUUUGGAGCAGUUUCUUGACCGCCUGGUGGAUCUGCCACUGCUUUGCAAUCAUAUUUUGCAAAUAUCUCAUUUACAUGGUACUCAUGUAGAGCUUAUUGCAUUUAUAGAGCAUACUCUGGCUAGAAUAUCAUCAAGCCACUUGAUAUCAAAUGGAGGCAGCAGUUCUUUUACUGAUCCCCACAGUGGUUCUAUUCCCACUACAGUGGAGAUGGUGGAGGUAUAAAAUUAGUUUCUUCUAUUGACCCAUGCAAUGUAUUUAGACCCCAUAAACACCAAUCAGUUUGAUAAAUUUAUUUCUUGUUGGAUUGACUUUAGUUGAACUAUUAUUGUGUUUGAUAUUUUUUGUUAGAAUGGAAUGUUAUUUUAAAGCCC